CACGUAGGGCGCAAGCGUUGUCCGGAAUUAUUGGGCGUAAAGAGCUCGUAGGCGGUCUGUUGCGUCCGCUGUGAAAACUCGGGGCUUAACCCCGAGCCUGCAGUGGAUACGGGCAGACUAGAGGUAGGUAGGGGAGAAUGGAAUUCCCGGUGUAGCGGUGAAAUGCGCAGAUAUCGGGAGGAAGACCAGUGGCGAAGGCGGGUCUCUGGACAGUUCCUGACGCUGAGGCGCGAAGGCCAGGGGAGCAAACGGG
rnacentral:rRNA from 1 species